CUCAUCAGUGCUAUCCUGCCAGGAUCCAGGCAGCCCUUGCCCUCGUAUAGUUGCUACCAGCCUCCUCUGCCCGUGACAGCUCACAGCUUCUGCUUCCUACAGUCAUUGGCUCUGCUGGUGCUGGGGACCCAGCUUCAGAGCAGCCUGCCUCCAGGGUGGCUGUCAGGUGAGGGGAGGUUUAGCUUUCACUCCUCACCCUGUCAGGGUGGGAAGCCUUCAAAGGAGCUACUCCAUCCCGGCUGCCCCCUUCACAUCCUGGCGGGGCCUGAUGGUGUUUGUGCAACUUUCCUGUCAGCUUGUAGGAGAAGUUCAAAGAGUUUCAGUCAUCCCCUCUAGCUUCCUCUCCAGACAAGCAGCUUUCCCUGCUGGUCCCUGCCCUUGUCUCUUGAGGAAGCUACCCUUUCCUCUCCCUCCCUUCCUCCCUCCGUCCCUCAGGUAUCCUGAGAGCAGAUCGGCCAUCUGAAACAGAAUUGGUUCACGCGCACGUAGCAGUACAUGCUGUAAUGAAGGGGAGUGCUAAGCGAGAAAGAGAAGAGCCUGGGGAGAGUUAAUGACUGUGCUGCGCAGCUAAAGGAGGUCUUCCGCUGGCCUGAGCUGUAAAAUCCUUUAGCCUUGGCCCCCUGCGUGUAUGCUGCGAUUCCAGGCAGGUGUCACCAAACCCAGCGGAAGGAAGCGAAGCGCCUUAAAGAACUAGAAGCUUAGCCGGGCGGUGGUGACACAUGCUUUUAAUCCCAGCGCUUGGGAGGCAGAGACAGGUGGAUCUCUGAAUUCGGGGCCAGCCUGGUCCACAGAGCUAGUCCUAGGACAGACGGAGCUGCACGAAGAAACCCUGUCUCAAAAAACUGAAAAAUAAGCAAAUAAAUAAAUAAACAGUGUUCCCUACCACCAAAAAAAAAAAAAAAAAAUAGCAAAAACAAAAACAAAAAAAACAAAGCUUUUUGUAGGUAAACACUUCGAGUUUUGCUGUUGUUGAUCGGUGCUGGGAACAGAACCUAGGGCCUUGUGUAUCUUGUACAAUGUCCGUCAAUAAACAAUGUCCCCUUCUCAACCAA